rnacentral:rRNA from 1 species
CUUGAAAAAGAAGAUCAAGAAGAGCUUCGAAGAAGCUUUCUUGAUGGAGGGGAGCGGCAGACGGGUGAGUAACGCGUGGGAACGUACCCUUUUCUACGGAAUAACGCAUGGAAACGUGUGCUAAUACCGUAUACGCCCUAUGGGGGAGAGAUUUAUCGGAGAAGGAUCGGCCCGCGUUGGAUUAGCUAGUUGGUGGGGUAAAGGCCUACCAAGGCGACGAUCCAUAGCUGGUCUGAGAGGAUGAUCAGCCACAUUGGGACUGAGACACGGCCCAGACUCCUACGGGAGGCAGCAGUAGGGAAUAUUGGACAAUGGGCGAAAGCCUGAUCCAGCAAUGCCGCGUGAGUGAUGAAGGCCUUAGGGUUGUAAAGCUCUUUUACCCGGGAUGAUAAUGACAGUACCGGGAGAAUAAGCUCCGGCUAACUCCGUGCCAGCAGCCGCCGUAACAC